rnacentral:misc_RNA from 1 species
UACGGGGGAGCAGCGGUGGGGAAUUUUGGACAAUGGGGGCGCUGAUCCAGCCAUCCCGCGUGCGAUAGAGCCUUCGGGUUGUAAAGCACUUUUGGCAGGGAAAGAAGCAGCGCAGGAUAAUACCUGCAACUGACGGCUACCUGCAGAAUAAGCACCAGCUAACUACGUGCCAGCAGCCGCGGUAAUACGUAGGGUGCAAGCGUUAAUCGGAAUUACUGGGCGUAAAGCGUGCGCAGGCGGUUCGGAAAGAAAGAUGUGAAAUCCAAGAGCUUAACUUUGGAACUGCAUUUUUAACUACCGAGCUAGAAAGUGUCAGGGAGGGUGGAAUUCCGCGUGUAGCAAUGAAAUGCGUAAGAAUGUGCGGAGGAACACCGAUGGCGAAGGCAGCCUCCUGGGAUAACGCUGACGCUCAUGCACGAAAGCGUGGGGGAGCAAACAGGAUUAGAUACCCUUGUAGU